UUUUAAAAUCCUAUUAUUUAUCUUCCUUCCCCUUGCUCUUUCUCCCUCUGCCCCUCAGUACUAUAAGUGUUAUCUUCUUUGAAGUAAUGGAAUUUAAUUAGAUAUAUAUUCCUUGAAAUUUCUCCAUUGAAAUAUUCUAAAACUUGAUAAGGCAAUGGUUACACAAUUCUAUAAAUUUACAAAAAUGUCACUGAAUUAUACAUUUAAAACAGGUGAAUUUUAUGGUGUGUAAAUUACACCUCAUAAAGGUAGUUUAACAGUUUAUCUUGCAUAAGACUGUAACUAAGACUCUCCAUUGAAAAGGUGGAUCUAAUGGCUGGCAAGUAUCGGUAUCCCAGUCUCUAAACUGACAUCCACUUAUUUCUGGAUUAAAUUCAACAGAGGCAAUGGCCAGCCAAACGUCCCCUCUACCACCUGCCAAGCCUCUCAGGGGACCCUGGAGGAAGAGAAGUUCAUUCUGUCUUCAGACUCAUUCACCCUCUCACCUCUCUACUUAGAUGGCCAAGUGGAUGGCACAAAGGGGCCCUGGAGUCAAGUUUGCUGGGAAAGUUUGUUAUGGGAUGGAGGGUGGAGAAGAAUAAUAGCAGCCUCAAGGGGAGGAGAGAGAGAAUAGAAUAGAAAGAAGAUGAACUAAAAGAACAAGCACAUCAUGUACAGAAAGGAUAUUAUCCAGCUACAGUAGAGUAGAACGAUGAACCGUCUUGUGGAACCGCAAAAUUCAGCGACUUGUGUAGAACUUUCCAUUGCCACCAUGCAUAAAAUGAAAGCAAUAAAAUCAAAGCAUUAUUAGUAAUGAAGAAACUGGAUUUUCAAUGCCACUUACUGACAAGAUGAUAUAAAGGUUGGAGAUAAUCUCUCGAUGAUACACCAAGAAAGAGAAAAAGAAAAGGCGUAUUUCUCACUGGCACACACUAAAAUCCGAUGAUGUGAGAAGACUACCUUUUCUGACAGUCCUUUUAUCUUCACUCUCCGACUAAAGUUUGAGAGAAGGAAUUAUUGAAAUUCAAUAAAGAAUUAUGGCAAUCCCAGCCUUCACUCCCCUUGAUGCCCCACAGGAAGAGUGUUUAAAAAUGUCUGUGGAAGAAGGGAAACAUUUUAAAUUUCAAGAUACAGACAAGAAUAGCUCUUUGUUGGGCUUCCCUGGUGGCACAGUGGUUGACACUCUGCCUGCUAAUGCAGGGGACACGGGUUCGAGCCCUGGUCUGGGAAGAUCCCACAUGCCGCGGAGCAACUAGGCCCGUGAGCCACAAUUACUGAGCCUGCGCGUCUGGAGCCUGUGCUCCGCAACAAGAGAGGCCACGAUAAUAAGAGGCCCGCGCACCGCGAUGAAGAGCGGCCCCCGCUCACCGCAGCUAGAGAAAGCCCUCGCACAGAAACGAAGACCCAAC